GAGCCUGCUUGUGUAGGAUAGGUGGGAGGCUUUGAAGCGUGGACGCCAGUUCGCGUGGAGCCAUCCUUGAAAUACCACCCUGGCAUGCUUGAGGUUCUAACUCUGGUCCGUAAUCCGGAUCGAGGACAGUGUAUGGUGGGCAGUUUGACUGGGGCGGUCUCCUCCUAAAGAGUAACGGAGGAGUACGAAGGUGCGCUCAGACCGGUCGGAAAUCGGUCGCAGA
rnacentral:rRNA from 1 species